rnacentral:rRNA from 1 species
GAUGAACGCUGGCGGCGUGCCUAAUACAUGCAAGUCGAGCGAACAGAUGAGGAGCUUGCUCCUCUGACGUUAGCGGCGGACGGGUGAGUAACACGUGGAUAACCUACCUAUAAGACUGGGAUAACUUCGGGAAACCGGAGCUAAUACCGGAUAAUAUAUUGAACCGCAUGGUUCAAUAGUUAAAGACGGUUUUGCUGUCACUUAUAGAUGGAUCCGCGCCGCAUUAGCUAGUUGGUAAGGUAACGGCUUACCAAGGCAACGAUGCGUAGCCGACCUGAGAGGGUGAUCGGCCACACUGGACCUGAGACACGGUCCAGACUCCUACGGGAGGCAGCAGUAGGGAAUCUUCCGCAAUGGGCGAAAGCCUGACGGAGCAACGCCGCGUGAGUGAUGAAGGUCUUCGGAUCGUAAAACUCUGUUAUUAGGGAAGAACAAAUGUGUAAGUAACUAUGCACGUGUUGACGGUACCUAAUCAGAAAGCCACGGCUAACUACGUG